AGACGAUGAUGAGAGACAUGUCUUUGGAGGUCCUUGAACCUCUCCCAAGCUUCGUAAAGCGAUUCCCCCUCAUAUUGAUAAAAGUCAAUGAUGUCUUUGGUCAAUUU